rnacentral:rRNA from 1 species
CCUACGGGAGGCAGCAGUGGGGAAUCUUGCGCAAUGCGCGAAAGCGUGACGCAGCAACGCCGCGUGGGGGAAGAAGGCCUUCGGGUUGUAAACCUCUUUCAGUUGGGACGAAGCUUCAGCGGUGAAUAGCCGUAUGGAGUGACGGUACCUUCACAAGAAGCCCCGGCUAACUACGUGCCAGCAGCCGCGGUAAUACGUAGGGGGCAAGCGUUGUCCGGAAUCAUUGGGCGUAAAGCGCGUGUAGGCGGCUCGGUAAGUCCGCUCUGAAAGUCCAGGGCUCAACCCUGGGAUGCGGGUGGAUACUGCCGAGCUCGAGUCCGGAAGAGGCGAGUGGAAUUCCUGGUGUAGCGGUGAAAUGCGCAGAUAUCAGGAGGAACACCGAUGGCGAAGGCAGCUCGCUGGGACGUGACUGACGCUGAGACGCGAAAGCGUGGGGAGCA